rnacentral:rRNA from 1 species
GACGUAGGGCGCGAGCGUUGUCCGGAUUUAUUGGGCGUAAAGAGCUCGUAGGCGGCUUGUCGCGUCGUUCGUGAAAACCCGGGGCUCAACUCCGGGCUUGCGGGCGAUACGGGCAGGCUAGAGUUCGGUAGGGGAGACUGGAAUUCCUGGUGUAGCGGUGAAAUGCGUAGAUAUCAGGAAGAACACCCGUGGCGAAGGCGGCUCUCUGGGACGGUACUGACGCUGAGACGCGAAAGCGUGGGGAGCGAACAGG